rnacentral:rRNA from 1 species
GUGGCGAAUGGGUGCGUAACACGUGGGAAUUUAUCCGGAAGUGGGGGAUAGCUCGUCGAAAGGCGAAUUAAUACCGCAUAUGCCUGUAAGGGCAAAGUGGGGGACCGCAAGGCCUCACGCUAUCGGAGGAGCCCGCGCCCUAUCAGCUAGUUGGUGAGGUAAUGGCUCACCAAGGCUUAGACGGGUAGCUGGUCUGAGAGGACGACCAGCCACACUGGAACUGAGACACGGUCCAGACACCUACGGGUGGCAGCAGUCGAGGAUUUUUCUCAAUGGGGGCAACCCUGAAGGAGCGACGCCGCGUGGAGGAUGAAGGGCUUCGGCUCGUAAACUCCUGUCACCGACGAACAAGACAUCCGGAUUAAUAACUCGGAUGUUUGAUGGUAGUCGGAGAGGAAGGGGCGGCUAACUCUGUGCCAGCAGCCGCGGUGAUACAGAGGCCCCAAGCGUUGUUCGGAUUUACUGGGCGUAAAGGGUGUGUAGGGGGUUAGGUUAGUCUGACGUGAAAUACCGUUGCUCAACAACGGAACUGCGUCGGAUACUGCCUAGCUAGAGGUUCGGAGAUGAGGGCGGAAUUCUCGGUGUAGCGGUGAAAUGCGUAGAUAUCGAGAGGAACGCCGAUGGCGAAAGCAGCCCUCAAGACGAAAUCUGACCCUGAAACACGAAGGGCCAGGGGAGCAAACGGGAUUAGAUACCCCGGUAGUCCUGGCAGUAAACGGUGCUCAUUAGAUGUAGGCGGAUUCGACCCCGCCUGUGUCGAACCUAACGGGAUUAAAUGAGCCGCCUGGGAAGUACUGGUCGCAAGAUUUAA